rnacentral:rRNA from 1 species
UGGGGAAUUUUGGACAAUGGGCGCAAGCCUGAUCCAGCAAUGCCGCGUGUGUGAAGAAGGCCUUCGGGUUGUAAAGCACUUUUGUCCGGAAAGAAAUCCGUCUGGCUAAUACCCGGACGGGAUGACGGUACCGGAAGAAUAAGCACCGGCUAACUACGUGCCAGCAGCCGCGGUAAUACGUAGGGUGCGAGCGUUAAUCGGAAUUACUGGGCGUAAAGGGCGCGCAGGCGGGAUAAAAAGUCAGUGGUGAAAUCCUACAGCUUAACUGUAGAACUGCCUUUGAUACUUUUAUUCUCGAGUUCGGGAGAGAGAGACGGAAUUCCAGGUGUAGUGGUGAAAUACGUAGAUAUCUGGAAGAACACCAGUUGCGAAGGCGGUCUCUUGGUCCGACACUGACGCUGAGGCGCGAAAGCGUGGGGAGCAAACA